AGAAAGGCCUCAGUAUUGCCCUCUUUCUCUCCUUGACACCCAUACCCAGUCAGCCACCAAGUGCUGUUAUUUUUCCUAAGCCAUUCAUCCUCUUCUCUCCAUCCCCUUUGCCAUCCCCUAGUCUGGGAUGUCUUCAUCUCUAGCCUUAACUAUUGCCAUAGCUUUCCAGUAUUUGGACUGGCUUCCCUCUAGAUCUUUUUACUUACUGUAGCCAGGGUAAUUUCUUGCUAAAAGACAAAUGGGAUGCUGUGACACGUGUUCGCUGGGUGCCCCUUCCCUCAACCUAGAGUGUGGUUGAGUUAGCAAGCAAGGCCCUCCGUAAUCUGGUGCCACAGCUCCCAGAUCUCUCAAAACACUCCCAACCUUUUUCUCAACUCUCCACCCACUCCCUGCCAUGCAGGCUGUGAAGGCACCUGGCUUUCUUCCACUUCCAGACCUCUGGUCGUGCUCUUCCCUCUACCUUACAGGCCCUUCCCUGCACCUCCUUUGUCUGACAUUAGCCCUACUCACUCCUGUCACCUCCUGAGCUCAGGUCCCCUCUUAGAUGUACCCACACAGGAAGCCUCCACGGACCACUGCCACCCCUAGGUGGGACGAGGUGCCCCUCCUCCCUGCAUAUCCUGCAUGCUCUGCCCGCCCUGUCUGGCCCUUCCUCUGUCCUGGGAGUGCCUCUUUAUUUGCCUGUUGUCCUAGUGGGGCCAUGAGCUCCUUGGGGCAGGAGCUUUGUCCUGUUCAUUUGUGUCCUUAGAGCCUUGCAGAGUCCCUGGUUGUGGUGGCCUUGCAGGAAAGAAAUAGAGAGGGUCUCAAACUCCAUGAAUGUCUGCUGGGUCCUAGUGUGAGGACAGAUUAUGAGACAGAGAGGGGACACCCUCUUAGAGGACUUUCAGCCAUUGUAAGGGAGGCUCAACCCACAGGUCCAGAUGAAGACACCCCCUAGGAGGGCUGGGGGAUGAGGCCUCUUCAGCAGGAGUAAGGAUCUUCUUUCAACACAUCAUCUUUUAGGAGGAGAAGUCAGGGUGAAGUGUGGGGCUCCUGGAGCCCUGCCAGGCAGUGGUCAGUGCUGGGCUUUCGGAAGUUUCUCAGCCACAGGCCCAGGAGGAGGAUCAGUGAGAGCAGCUGGCACUGGAAGGGCAGCUUCCCCUGAAGCAGAGAGGAGAUGUGCUGCCAGGGAACCCCCAACUUCCUACCUCAUUCCUCUAGUUAAUGGGUUGCACCUGCUUAGGAAUGGCAGGCACCUUCUGAGGGGUAUCGGAGAGGCAUUCAGCUGUUACUAACACCAGGGGUUCAGUCUAGGUCCCAUUGCUUGCUGCACAGAAAACCAAUCGUGGAGACAAUGAGUACUGCCACGGAUGAAGGCUUUUUCCGGUGACAACAGCCAGAGAGAUGGGAGCCAAACCUCAAAUCCCUCCCUCCCUGCAGAUGGAAGUUAAGGGUU
rnacentral:lncRNA from 10 species